rnacentral:rRNA from 1 species
GAUCAUUAUUGAAGUAAAUCUGAUAAGUUGUUGCUGGCUCUCUGGGGAGUAUUGUGCACGCUUGUCAUCUUUUAUCAUCUUUCACCUGUGCACUUUUUGUAGACUUUUGGAUAUCUCUCUGAUGCUUAUGCAGUCAGUUAUGAAGAUUGACUUUUGUUGUCUUUCUUUAUAUUUCCAGGUCUACGUUUCUUCAUAUACCCCAUGUAUGUUUAGAAUGUAAUAAAUGCGGGUCUUUGUGCCCCAUAGUCCUUUAUACAACUUUCAGCAACGGAUCUCUUGGCUCUCGCAUCGAUGAAGAACGCAGCGAAAUGCGAUAAGUAAUGUGAAUUGCAGAAUUCAGUGAAUCAUCGAAUCUUUGAACGCACCUUGCGCUCCUUGGUAUUCCGAGGAGCAUGCCUGUUUGAGUGUCAUUAAUAUAUCAACCUCGCUUUUUGAGUGUUGGAUGUGAGGGUUGCUGGACUCCUUUCGAGGUCAGCUCCUUUGAAAUAUAUUAGCAGAAAAAUUUGUGGACCUGUUCAUUGGUGUGAUACAUUUAUCUACACUAUCGACAUGAAGCAAGUUCUGCUUCUAACUGUCUUUCGACAAAUUUUAUUAAUGUGACCUCAAAUCAGGUAGG